rnacentral:rRNA from 1 species
GCCUCUUGAUUAAACCAUAAGAGGUCCAGCCUGCCCAGUGACAUUGUUCAACGGCCGCGGUAUCCUAACCGUGCGAAGGUAGCGUAAUCACUUGUCCCUUAAAUGGGGACUAGUAUGAAUGGCCCCACGAAAGCUAUACUGUCUCCUUUUUCCAAUCAGUUAAACUAAUCUUCCCGUGAAGAAGCGGGAAUAAAUACACAAGACGAGAAGACCCUAUGGAGCUUUAAACAAUUGAAACACUUGCAUGUCUUACUUUAUUAAACCUACAUUAAACCUCACAUUUUGUUUCUAGUUUUAGGUUGGGGUGACCGCGGAGAAUAAACUAACCUCCACGCCGAAAGAGACAUCUCUAAACAAAAAGCCACAUCUUUAUGUAUUAAUAUAUUAACCUUUAUUGACCCA